rnacentral:rRNA from 1 species
GGGGGGGGGGGGGGGGGGGCGUGGCGGGGGCGGGUCGGACGGGGAAGGGACCGGCGGGCUGGUGCGGGAUGAGUGGCGAACGGGGGAGUAACACGUGAGUAACCUGCCCCCUUCUUCUGGAUAACCGCAUGAAAGUGUGGCUAAGACGGGAUAUUCUGGGUCUGUCUCAUGGCGGGCCCGGGAAAGAUAUUGCUUCGGUGGGGGAUGGGCUCGCGGCCUAUCAGCUUGUUGGUGGGGUGAUGGCCUUCCAAGGCGGUGACGGGUAGCCGGCCUGAGAGGGUGGACGGUCACACUGGGACUGAGACACGGCCCAGACUCCUACGGGAGGCAGCAGUGGGGAAUAUUGCACAAUGGGCGCAAGCCUGAUGCAGCGACGCCGCGUGAGGGAUGGAGGCCUUCGGGUUGUAAACCUCUUUCGCCAGUGAAGCAGGCCUGCUCCUUGUGGGUGGGUUGACGGUAGCUGGAGAAGAAGCGCCGGCUAACUACGUG